AAGUCGUAACAAGGUAACCGUAGGUGAACCUGCGGUUGGAUCAUUACCAAAUAUCCAAUGGGGUGCAGCUUGCUGUGCUCCAUUUCCCCACCUCUUGUGCAAUGUAUCGUUUUGGCGGGCGUUGUCCGCUGCCACCCCCCCGCCUGCAGAGCAUCUCCAGUAACAUGGAGAUGUGAGCUGGUGGUGGCGGCAGUGGGCAACCUUGUGGGACGGCGCGUGGCGUUCCCUUACCGGGCCGCUGCGCACGUGCCAACCGUCAUGUUAACCCACCUAACCUACUUUACACCCAAACUUCUGACGUUUAUAUGCUAGGGUGCGCGUUUGCGUACGCUCUGGAACAUAACCGAAAACAACUUUUGACAACGGAUCUCUUGGCUCUC
rnacentral:misc_RNA from 1 species